GUAGGGAAUCUUCCACAAUGGACGCAAGUCUGAUGGAGCAACGCCGCGUGAGUGAAGAAGGUCUUCGGAUCGUAAAACUCUGUUGUUAGAGAAGAACACGAGUGAGAGUAACUGUUCAUUCGAUGACGGUAUCUAACCAGCAAGUCACGGCUAACUACGUGCCAGCAGCCGCGGUAAUACGUAGGUGGCAAGCGUUGUCCGGAUUUAUUGGGCGUAAAGGGAACGCAGGCGGUCUUUUAAGUCUGAUGUGAAAGCCUUCGGCUUAACCGGAGUAGUGCAUUGGAAACUGGAAGACUUGAGUGCAGAAGAGGAGAGUGGAACUCCAUGUGUAGCGGUGAAAUGCGUAGAUAUAUGGAAGAACACCAGUGGCGAAAGCGGCUCUCUGGUCUGUAACUGACGCUGAGGUUCGAAAGCGUGGGUAGCAAACAGGAUUAGAAACCCUAGUAGUCC
rnacentral:rRNA from 1 species